rnacentral:tRNA from 1 species
UAGCUUAGUGGUUAAGGCUAUGGAUCGCCAAUCCGGAGACGGCGGGCUCGAUUCCCGC